rnacentral:rRNA from 1 species
GGAAUAUUGGUCAAUGGACGCAAGUCUGAUGCAGCGACGCCGCGUGGGUGAAGAAGGUUUUCGGAUCGUAAAGCCCUUUUCUGUGUGACGAGGAAGGACGGUAGCACAGGAAUAAAUCUCCGCUAACUACGUGACAGCAGCCGCGGUAAAACGUAGGAGGCAAGCGUUAUCCGGAGUUACUGGGCGUAAAGCGCGUGCAGGCGGAUUGUUAAGUUACUUAUGAAAGCUCCUGGCUAAACGGGGAGAGGUUAAGUGAAACUGGCAGUCUAGGGUGGAUGAGAGGUUGAGAGAAUUCCUUGUGUAGUGGUGAAAUGCGUAGAUAUGAGGAAGAAUACCAGUGGCGAAGGCGCUCAACUGGCAUCCGACUGACGCUCAGACGCGAAAGCAUGGGUAGCGAAC